rnacentral:ncRNA from 2 species
ACCGGCCACGCGGGAGAGCGCGGGGGCAGGGAAACCGGCCGUCGCCACCGAAGGAGCAACCGCCCCGGAAACUCUCAGGUCAACGGACCGCGCGGCUGGA